rnacentral:piRNA from 1 species
UCAAACAUCUGUGUUUUUAUACAAAGCAAC